rnacentral:lncRNA from 1 species
UUACUUUACGAUGGCUUUUCAUUUUUUUCCUCCUUUAAAUUUGUACUUUGAAGGUACAGGUAGCCACAAAUCUUUUUCAUACUGAUUGUUCAUCAUGAUUUCUUAGAGCAAGAUGGAUUCAUAGCGCGUGAAGAGACUUGAGCAAAUUCUGGCUCGUAGGAGAGGUCGUGGUUUUGAUUGCUGAAAUGGGAUCUGUAGUUAAGAAAGAAGAACAUGCUACCCCUAUCAUUAAGCCCAUAGCCCUAUUAUUGGAAGUCGUGACAUAAGAUUCUCUAGAGAAAGUUUCGAUCGAUGGGAUGUCGACGAAGAUGGCACC